UUACUAUGGCGAUGGAACACUCUGAAACCCGUGGGUUCUGGAUGCAGAGAUCAUUAUGAGUGCGGAACCAACUUCUGCAGGAAACACACCUGCUCCUUCAAUAAAGCUCAACAGGUGUGACUGAGUCCAAAUGAUUAUGGCACUAAUUCAAAUGAUUGAAAACAAAAUGGCUAAAAUUGUGCAUCCCUUGAUUUCUCAAACAUCAUGACCUACAUAAAUCUGACAGAACAUUCAAAGACAGCUGAAGACUUUAAGAUCUACACCAACCUCAAGACUGUAUCCAGGUGAAUCUCACCAAGAAAUGUCCAGGUCAUAUUAAACUCCAAAAUCAGAAGCAUUUUUGGCCUGAAAUAUGACCUGGUGUGUUUUUGACAUAUUCUCCCCUUCAGAAACCACUCAGGAACAUAUCUACAAGAACUCCAGUUUCAGCACUGAUGUUUUAUAGUUGUACAGAUCUUGAUAACGUGUAAAUUAUUAACUUUGCAUCUAUAGUUUCUGAUUCAGAUUCAAUGAGGCCGAGAUGUUUGAUCUGAUCAAAUACAAACACGCAUGGCCAAAGAAUCUGUAGCAAAUGUAUUUCAUUAUCAGCUGCAGCUUCCAGAAGAACUUUUAUUUAUUUUGUAAAUAUCAGACACAUGAGAUGGUGUAACAUGCUUUUUUGUUAAAAUGUUUUAUUGUU